CCUACAUAAUCAUGUCGGGGGGGUUAUUCAGAUAAUUCACAGUGAGAUUACCAUGAGCUCAUUAAAGUGCACGAACCCUCUGUUGGGCUUUUUACUGCAUGAAAACAAUUGAUUACUUAAAAAACGGUCCCACCCUUUCCUAAAAGCACACGAGUGUGUAUAUAGGCUGCUACCAACAGCUCACAUACACCCUGAAUAGGAAGCACAUCUCUCUGACGGACACAAUCUUUUUUUUGAAGGAGGAUAUCGCUUGCUGGACUUACAGAAGUGCAACAAGAUCGGUCAUUGUUAUCUGUGGAGAAACAUGGGAAACGAGAACUCCAAGAACAAAGAACUGCAGAACAGGAACGGCAGGAUUCCUGAGAAGCAUAUAAAUGGAUCAGCGAACGGCCUCUCUGCGAACCUCUCAUCUAACGGCUUGGAGAUUUCUGCUAACGACGGUAAAGCUGCUGACGCUCCAGUUAUUUCUGAAAUCCUUGAAAUCGUCAUCCACAAGGAAGAGGUCAGGGAAAGUGAAGGAGAUCAAACGGAUGUUAGUCUCCCUGCCACCAAUCUACAGACGGAGACAGCUAAGCAAAAGCAAGGGUCAGAAUCAUUGACGGAGCCAGAGAGUGUGACUCUAGACUCUGACGAGGGAAACCAGGAGGACAAUAACCCAGAAGAGAAUCCAGUUAUGAACUUCUUCAAAUCUCUAACGACUUCCAAAAUAACCAAAAAGGAAACAGCUGCUCCUGUUGCCAUAAAAGACCAGUCCCAGAAGGAGAACCAACCAGCAGCAACCACUACCGUCGCACAAGUAUCUGAGCCGCCUGCAGCGCCCAAAGGAAUGUCUAUCCCACCGCCACCUCCUCCAGAGCCACCAAAAAUGGAUAUCAAGGCAGAACCAGCUGCUAAACCUGUCAAGGCCACACCAAGAGAAGAAGCAAAAGCUGUUGCCAAGCAACCCCAGUCCUCCAAAGGAAAAUCAGCAACUCUAAGCAAAUUUUUCCGUUCAAAGACAAACAAGGAGUCCCCACCAAAGCCAGACAUUGAAGUAGACGUACAACAAGUUGUAGAAGUAGAGGAGACACCAGUGGAAGCUCCUGAGCCAGUUGUUUUAGAAGUCAAGAAGGUGGAUUCUUCAAAAGCUGGCACUUUGGAGGCUGCAGCGAAACCAGAACCGCCGCCGCCUGUGCAGGAAGCACAGAAAACUGCCUCAACAUCCUCCUUCUUUUCUCUCUUCAAGCCUAAAGCCGCUGAUCCCAAAAAGGCGAGUCCUGCCCCGGCUGCAGCCCCAGAGACAGUGAAAGCCAAGGAGGAACCCAAAGCAGCAGCCAAGUUAUCCGAGGCCGUGGUAGAUAAUAAACCUGCUUCAGUGGCCUCCCAGGCCGCAGGUGAUGCAGCCAAGGCGCCAAAGAAACUGGAGAAGAGGAACUCCAUCCAUCAGUUCUUUAAAAUUCUGGGCCAGAAGCGUAACUCGACAGAUGCCGGGAUCCAGACAGAGACGCUCGCUGUCGCUCCGGUACCCGAGAAGGUCAAAUGAAACCAAAAGCGAGAGUGAAGUUUCCCUGUACAGACUCCUUCUCUUUUUCUUGCCCUUACUCGGUUUUCAUGUGCCUCAUCUGUCUCAUUAUUCUUUAAACUCUUAUAGAAUUGCUUUAACUACAUUUUGAUUUUGUUAUUGUUCAUAAGUUACAAUACGCACGGAAUAGUGAGCGGAAAGGCAAAGGCAAGUAGUGAGAAAGACACACAGCAGGUAGUUGCACAAGUGGUGAUUUGAAAUGGUCCAUGGUGAGGUUGUUGAGAUAUUUACAGUAUAUACAGUACAUAUUGUGUUUGGACCCUGUGCCUUGACAAGUAUAGCAAAAUCAGUGUGAAAUCUUUUCUACAGACAUUUAAUGUAACUUCUCUCUGUUCUUGCACAUGAAACAGAAGGUAAAAGGCAUCGCUUUUAGCUUUGUGUUUGUCAAAAAAAAACAUUUAAAAAAGGUUCUAUUUUUUACAGUUCACACAAAAGAAAAUCACGCAGCUGUGGCCGUGCAGAGGUUCCCACGAAAUUGCAUCGCACUUAAAUCCAUAUGUGAUAUAUUAACAUUAACAGCUCUGAAAAGAGCAAAUAAGAAGAGCAUCUUAGUGUAACAAGAAGCACUUAGCAGUCAAGUAUCUGUAUCGAGGGUGAUGGGGAACUGGCUAUAUGCGUAAAAAAAUGCAUCUGAGAGAUGUGUCUUUGUGCUACGUUUUUACUAAUGACUCACAGUUGAUUAGUUUUACAUUUGAACUUUGUCUCAUGUAACUCAGUGGAAGUCUUGUAGCGUCAGUCAGCAAUUAACAUCACGCUUUUGGUGGCCUUGCUUGAUGUAUGCAUGUGUGUGCGUGUGUGUAACUUCAGCUAUCCUGAAGACAAUAAACCUGUUUAUCAUUCGUUGUAUCUUCAUGUGUGUACGCGGCAACUGAGAAACCCCGUGAAGAAUAACCGGCUGUUGCAUUCGGCAUCUGCCAAAAUAUGCACCUCAGUAAGUUUGGCAAAAAAAAAUAAAAAAUCACACAUCAAAUCUUAUAAUAAAUAUUUUAAUUCACACUAAACUAAACUCAUAAGGCGUGACACAUGAGUCCUACCUUGGGCGUCGGUGGAAAUACUGCCAGCCUUACUCACCCAUGGGUUUAUUUUGUUGGCUGAAAAACAAGUGACGGUGAUGACGGGCAGGGCCGUACAAACCAAAACUCACCUCAGAGCCGCCCGCCGUCCGCCCGCCCGCCUGAUGGACGGAGAGCCGUCUGCGGUCCGUCACUACCAAAUAUUACAUUCAGAGACACCUUAGAGAUAAAAAGAUGUUAAACGAGAUCUAAGGAAUUGUUUCAGGUAAAGCAAAGCCUCCCAUACUCUAUUUUCAUUUAUGAGGUAAUUCCAAUGAUGGAGGAUGUGUUUUAAAUAGUAUUAUGUCAUGAGUCGCGGCCCCCUUAAAGGCAUAACUCACGCUGCACCUUUAUUAUCAACGAAACGCACUCUUUUUGCGUUACCCUCUGUGAUGGUUGUGAUCAUUUUAAAUUGUGCAUCAAAGUAAUUGACAUGGCACUUAAGGGGAAACAGUGAGGUAUUGCCUGCACAGUUUAAUCCAUGUGGUCAAGUCCUCUCCUCUGGGGAUUGUUAAGAGGAAUAUGUGACUCUUUGCCAACUGUAUUGCUGUACAGUGUGAAGUUCACCACUAACUACCAUUCUCCUAAAAUAAAACACUGGACAGUACCCACAGUGCACCUCACCGCCGCUUCCUCAUGUUUCCACGCUUUUAUGGGAAAAUUCACUCUGUGAAAAACAAGUGCCAUUAAUGUAGCAGCUGCGAGUCCCUACAUGCACUGCGCCAGAAGCGCGAGUGUUAGUUUAAAGGGAAACCUUUUACCGUACAGUCUGGUUCACAGACGGGGACGAGCCGGGUGUCUCGCUUGAUAUGGAAACGGUUGCACGAGAUCUGCUUGACCCGCCGGGUUGCUGCGGUUCAUCCCGGGACAAUGGCCG
ensembl:lncRNA